AUACGGAGGAUGCAAGCGUUAUCCGGAUUUAUUGGGUUUAAAGGGUGCGUAGGCGGUUUGCUAAGCGGGAGGUGAAAUGCCGGCGCUCAACGUCGGAAGUGCCUCCCGUACUGGUGGACUUGAAUGACUCUGCCGUGGGAGGAAUGUGUAGUGUAGCGGUGAAAUGCUUAGAGAUUACACAGAACACCGAUUGCGAAGGCAUCUCACGAAGGGUUGAUUGACGCUGAGGCACGAAAGCGUGGGGAUCAAACAGGAUUAGAUACCCUGGUAGUCCACGCAGUAAACGAUGAUGGCUAACCGCUGGGCUUAUCAGUUCAGUGGCCAAGCGAAAGCGAUAAGCCAUCCACCUGGGGAGUACGACCGCAAGGUUGAAACUCAAAGGAAUUGACGGGG
rnacentral:rRNA from 1 species